UACGGGGGGGGCAAGCGUUGCUCGGAAUUACUGGGCGUAAAGGGUUUGUAGGUGGCUUGCUAAGUCAGACGUGAAAUCCCUCAGCUUAACUGGGGAACUGCGUCUGAUACUGGCGAGCUUGAGUGCAGGAGAGGAACGCGGAAUUCCAGGUGUAGCGGUGAAAUGCGUAGAUAUCUGGAGGAAUACCGGUGGCGAAGGCGGCAUCCUGGACCGGCAUUGACGCUGAGGAGCGAAAGCUAGGGGAGCAAACGGG
rnacentral:rRNA from 1 species